ACAAGAGGAGAUUAAAUCUAUCAUGCUUGAAGUAAGAUAAUUUUAGUUUCAUGUUUCUAAUGGCUUAUACUUUGCUUAUACCAUCUUCACCCAAAACUGAUGCUUUCAUUUUAAUUUCUUAUUUACAGGUUGUUCCGAAGGUUAAAGGAGGCCGCUAUGGGUUUGGUAAAUUUUUGAAUGAAGAAUGCUCGUCUUCGACUUCAACUCCACACCAUAUUCCUAACUUACGAGAAGAGAUUCAAAUAUUGAAGAAACGUGAACUAGAAAAGAAUGCUCAAAUCAAAUACCUUAUGGAAUGCAACAAGCUCCUCUUCGAGCAGUUUCCUCAACUUCGACCACCUGAACACCCGUCGACGCCAACCAUAGAUGAAGACGAGAUGCAAGCAUAGAUCGAAUUAAUUGGAAUUUUGAGUCUCAUUUUACCUCGCUUAUAACAGUUUUAAAAUAUGGGUUGGAAAAUGUUUAUAUUGAUUUUAACAAUGUUUCCAUGUGAAUUUGGAAUGAUAUUUCACCUUUUU
rnacentral:lncRNA from 1 species